rnacentral:rRNA from 1 species
CGGGUGCGUAACGCGUGAGCAACCUACCCAUAUCAGGGGGAUAGCCUCUCGAAAGAGAGAUUAACACCGCAUAACAUCAUUAACCGGCAUCGGAUUAUGAUCAAAUAUUUAUAGGAUAUGGAUGGGCUCGCGUGACAUUAGCUAGUUGGAGAGGUAACGGCUCACCAAGGCUACGAUGUCUAGGGGCUCUGAGAGGAGAAUCCCCCACACUGGUACUGAGACACGGACCAGACUCCUACGGGAGGCAGCAGUAAGGAAUAUUGGUCAAUGGAGGCAACUCUGAACCAGCCAUGCCGCGUGCAGGAUGACUGCCCUAUGGGUUGUAAACUGCUUUUGUCAGGGAAUAAACCUUUCUACGUGUAGAAAGCUGAAUGUACCUGAAGAAUAAGGAUCGGCUAACUCCGUGCCAGCAGCCGCGGUAAUACGGAGGAUCCAAGCGUUAUCCGGAUUUAUUGGGUUUAAAGGGUGCGUAGGCGGUCCUAUAAGUCAGUGGUGAAAGACGGCAGCUUAACUGUCGCAGUGCCUUUGAUACUGUAGGACUUGAAUCUAUUUGAAGUGG